GUGGGGAAUAUUGGACAAUGGGCGAAAGCCUGAUCCAGCAAUGCCGCGUGAGUGAAGAAGGCCUUAGGGUUGUAAAGCUCUUUUACCCGGGAUGAUAAUGACAGUACCGGGAGAAUAAGCUCCGGCUAACUCCGUGCCAGCAGCCGCGGUAAUACGGAGGGAGCUAGCGUUGUUCGGAAUCACUGGGCGUAAAGCGCACGUAGGCGGCUUUGUAAGUUAGAGGUGAAAGCCCGGGGCUCAACUCCGGAACUGCCUUUAAGACUGCAUCGCUUGAAUCUGGGAGAGGUAAGUGGAAUUCCGAGUGUAGAGGUGAAAUUCGUAGAUAUUCGGAAGAACACCAGUGGCGAAGGCGGCUUACUGGACCAGAAUUGACGCUGAGGUGCGAAAGCGUGGGGAGCAAACAGGAUUAGAAACCCCAGUAGUCC
rnacentral:rRNA from 1 species